rnacentral:rRNA from 1 species
UGGCGGCAGUAGCGCGGUGGUCCCACCUGACCCCAUGCCGAACUCAGAAGUGAAA